AACGAACGCUGGCGGCAUGCCUAACACAUGCAAGUCGAACGAGACCUUCGGGUCUAGUGGCGCACGGGUGCGUAACGCGUGGGAACCUGCCCUUAGGUUCGGAAUAACUCCCCGAAAGGGGUGCUAAUACCGGAUAAUGUCUUCGGACCAAAGAUUUUUCGCCUUUGGUUGGGCCCGCGUUGGAUUAGCUAGUUGGUAGGGUAAAAGCCUACCAAGGCGACGAUCCAUAGCUGGUCUGAGAGGAUGAUCAGCCACACUGGGACUGAGACACGGCCCAGACUCCUACGGGAGGCAGCAGUGGGGAAUAUUGGACAAUGGGCGAAAGCCUGAUCCAGCAAUGCCGCGUGAGUGAUGAAGGCCGUAGGGUUGUAAAGCUCUUUUACCCGGGAUGAUAAUGACAGUACCGGGAGAAUAAGCUCCGGCUAACUCCGUG
rnacentral:rRNA from 1 species